CCUACGGGCGGCAGCAGUGAGGAAUAUUGGUCAAUGGACGAGAGUCUGAACCAGCCAAGUAGCGUGAAGGAUGACUGCCCUAUGGGUUGUAAACUUCCUUUAUAUGGGAAUAAAACGUUCCACGUGUGGGAUUUUGUAUGUACCAUAUGAAUAAGGAUCGGCUAACUCCGUGCCAGCAGCCGCGGUAAUACGGAGGAUCCGAGCGUUAUCCGGAUUUAUUGGGUUUAAAGGGAGCGUAGGUGGAUUGUUAAGUCAGUUGUGAAAGUUUGCGGCUCAACCGUAAAAUUGCAGUUGAAACUGGCAGUCUUGAGUACAGUAGAGGUGGGCGGAAUUCGUGGUGUAGCGGUGAAAUGCUUAGAUAUCACGAAGAACUCCGAUUGCGAAGGCAGUUCACUGGACUGCAACUGACACUGAGGCUCGAAAGUGUGGGUAUCAAACAGGAUUAGAUACCCUUGUAGUC
rnacentral:rRNA from 1 species